rnacentral:rRNA from 1 species
UUUCAGUUUGAACCCCCGAAACUAAGUGAGCUACUUCGAGGCAGUUUUAAGAACAACCCCAUCUCUGUUGCAAAAGAGUGGGAUGACCUCCAAGUAGAGGCGACAAACCUACCGCACUUAGAGAUAGCUGGUUACUCAAGAAAAGAAUUUAAGUUCAACCUAAAGUUUUCUAAUUACACAAAAAUACAAUAAAACUUUAGAGCUACUCAAAUAAGGCACAGCUUAUUUGAAAUAGGACCCAACCUACAACAUCGGGUAAUAUAAACAAGCAAGUAACAAGUGGGCCUAAGAGCAGCCACCUACAAAAAGCGUUAAAGCUUAAUACUUAAACUGUAUUAAUACCACCACUACCCUAGAACCCCUCACCAAUAUUGAGUAAUUCCAUAAGCAUAUGGAAGCUAUUAUGCUAGAAUGAGUAACAAGAAAUAGCUUUUCUCCUAAAUGUGAGCUUAAGCCAUAAUAGACCAACUACCGGCAAUUAACGCAUAUGAAGACGCUACAGCAACCCAAACAAGAAAACCCUGUAUCAACUCACGUUAACCUUACACCAGAACAUUUAAGGAAAGAUUAAAAGAAAAAGAAGG